UCAAGUGUUGCGCUAUUUCUCUUCUUGCUUCUUGGUGCUGGUGACGACGGCGAUUUGUUGACGAUGGCGGUAGCGCGACGGGCUUCUUAAUGUUGACGACGGCGACUCGACGACGGCGGCUCGACAGGUUUCUCGUUGUUGACGAUGGCGACGGCGCUGCUAUAGCCCCAUAGCCAACAGUUACAUAUCCUCUCUUCUCCUCAGCCCAUUCCUCAACUGUCGUCCAUCCGUCUGGCACUUGUCUUUAGCAACUGGCAAUUCGGCAACUACUUGCAAGUGUUCAGGAACAGGGAUUUGAAGAUGCUUGGACUACCAACCCACUCAUCUUCAACAACUCUUACAAGAUGCAGCACACGAGCUGGCUCUUGGAGACUCAUAGGAGAUUUUCACCAUUAAAAAUUUCAAGGAAGGGUCUCAGUGGUAUGAUACAUAUAUCUUUUGAUAUUGACAAUCCACAGCAUUUCAAUCCUGAGUUUUCAGAUGAAUUAGGAUGUUAUCUUUUCAAAUUUACAAACAUUGGUACACUGUGCAAGAUAACCUGCAUUUGACUAAAUGUCUACCAUUUGUUUGAAAUCUUAUUUGGUUGUAUCUUUUGACACAAUGGCCAUCAUUUGAUUGUAUCUUAACAAACACUUGAAAGUCUGCAAACUUGCAAAAUUUUCUUAUUUUUCAUUCUAAGGACUCGAGGACAGAUUUUGCAAGCAAUCAGAGUUAAUUUGGUUGUCUAUGGAGAAAUUAUUACUGUAUCUUGGAUGGAUUUAUUAUAAUGCGAUCUAUACAGUACAAACUUGCCAUUAUUUGAAAAUUUUAUUUACCUCCUGCUUCCCAUCUUUUUAUGUUUGCAAUUGUUCUUACUUUUGUUGUCUUCAAUUUUCCUUGUUAGGCUUUGGGCUCAUUGCCUAGCGUUAUAAGUGAUUUCAUUCUCUACUUGCAUUCUCCUAUACUUUGUAAGGAUAUUCAAGGCCAUAUCUGUUAUCUAUUACUGUAAUUUCUUUUACACCCACAGAACACAUAAGCUUUCAAGAAGUAUCUGUUUCUUUCAUCAUUGAAGAUUUGCCACUUUUUCUUAGGAAUACAAAUACAUCACGAGAAUGAGGUUGGCUUACAUUAGUUCAUCUGUUUCCAACCCAUGUUAUUUCAUGGUUCUUGUUAGUGGUAUCCCAUGGUCUCAAGAAGAAUCAUACAGUGAGUUGGCAAAAUUCUUUACAAGUUAUUAUGCAUCAAGCUAUUUAUCUCAUCAAAUUGUAUACUGGUCGAGUGUUGUUUAGAGACUGGUGGUAAGUAUCUGAUAGACCUUUUUCUGAUUGUUUUUAUGAUUUUUUUUGGAGGUAAUUCGAUAUCUUUUUCUUAUCCUGGGAAUGUCAUACUUGUUAUUUGGCUUAGACACACUGCUUUGUAAUCAGAGAGCUUUUGAGUGGUGAGAAAGAAAGGCUUAUACAAUUGCCCACUGACAAGGCUCUUAUUAAAGAUCAUUUUUUCCACCCACUAGUUGAAAAAUAUGAUGCGGUAUGUGUGUGUUCCAUGGUUCCUCCCCUGCUUCAGAUGAAUUUUGAUGUCCAUUCUUUGCUGAUCAUGCAAAGGCUCAUUUGAAGAUCUCUGAACUUGGAGAGCCAACAUGACGAGUUAGAGGCAGACUUUAUGGAUUUUAUACUAUGAAAUAAUGAGCUUGGUGGCUAAAUGCACUUCAAUAAAUAUUUUGUAUUAUAAGUUUUUGGUGUAAUAUUUGUAUUUGCAUAAAAUGUGAGGUUCAUUAUGCUAUAAGCAUGCAUAUGUCUAUUACUUUUGUUUUAUAUGUUUUUCUAAUUUGUCAGCAGCUGCUGCAUUGGCUAAUGAAGCUAGGUUGUAGGCCAUAAAAAAAAAUAAUUUUUUUAUUUACUAAAUUACUUUCCGAUAACCAAGUGGUCGGAAAUUCUCACCGCUAUAAUUUUUAACUAAAUAACUUUCCGACCACUUGGUGGUUGGAAAAUGUGCAACAUCACUCUCCAGCCUACGACCAGUUGUUUCGACGACUUUAAUAAAGUCGACGGUAUUUCCGACCACCACAUCAAGUAGUCAGAAAUACCGAUGAUGAUUUUUCCGAAUCCUAAAGUAGUCGGAAAAGUGGCCAGGACAAGGAUUUUCGAUCAGAUUUUGGCAUUUUCCGACCACUUUUGGGGUGGUUGGAAAAUGGUUGAUUUCCAACUGUAAGUAUUGUGUUGAGUACAUAUAUAUAGCAACAUGUAUGCACACUGUCACUGAUAAGCACCAAGAAUAGCUCAUUUUAGGGGUCAUUUAAGGGCUAGUAUUGUAUAGUUUAUUACCCAUUUCAUAAGAAUAUCCUGCAUUUAGACUCUAAUGUGACCAAAACUUCUAACUAGAGUGUGGAAGAUGCUUUUUAGGUAUCCUACAGCUAAAAGGAGGACUCAAGGCCGAAAAAUGAGCAGAAAAUGAAGAAACCGUGAAGCAGGAGCCUCCCACGCAGCCUCACACGCGUUUGGAGGGGCGUGGAAACAUUCCAGAAACUCCCCACACCCUCCACCACGCGUGUGGAAGAUCGCGGAGAAAAUUCUUCCGGGCUCGACGUGUCGAGACCCCUGUGACAGCCCUAAAAAUCUGCUGCGCGGAAAUUGUCUAUCUUGCUCCUAUUUUGUUCCCCCUAUAUAAGGCUCCUUAUUUCAGACUUUUGGAGAUGAGGAGGCACCCCAUAAUUUAGAUCUUAGUUUUCUUUUCCAAAUUCUUCCCCUUUGGGGAGGAAUUCCAAUACUCCUCCUUAGAUUAGAUUUAGAUUAGUGUAGAUGAUGAAGUUGUAGAUCCAAGAACUCCUUAGGUAAUACUCUUUUCUUUUAAUAUUAAAGUUUGAAUCUUUACUUUC